rnacentral:rRNA from 1 species
UUUUAAAGGGCCGCGGUAAUUUGACCGUGCGAAGGUAGCAUAAUAAUUAGCCUUUUAAUUGGAGGCUUGWAUGAAUGGUCGGAUGAGGGAUAAGCUGUCUUUUCUUUAAUUUUAGAAUUUAACUUUUGAGUGAAAAGGCUCAAAUGAUUUAAAGUGACGAUAAGACCCUAUAAAACUUAAUAUAUAAAUAAUUUGUUCAAGAAUUGUUUAUUAAAUUAAUUAAUUGUUUCUAUGUUUCGUUGGGGAGAUGAAGAUAUAAUUUGUAACUGUCUUAAGAAUUUUAUAAUUAUUAUUAGAUAAAUGAUCCUCUAUUAGGGAUUUAAAGAUUAAGUUACUUUAGGGAUAACAGCGUAAUUUCCUUUGAGAGUUCUUAUCGACAAGGGUAGUUGCGACCUCGAUGUUGAAUUAAAAUUUCAGGUUGGUGUAGCCGCUAUCCUGGUA